GUGAGGGAAAGGCGAAAAGAACCCCGGCGAGGGGAGUGAAAAAGAACCUGAAACCGUGUACGUACAAGCAGUGGGAGCACCCUUCGGGGUGUGACUGCGUACCUUUUGUAUAAUGGGUCAGCGACUUAUAUUCUGUAGCAAGGUUAACCGUAUAGGGGAGCCGGAGGGAAACCGAGUCUUAACCGGGCGUUAAGUUGCAGGGUAUAGACCCGAAACCCGGUGAUCUAGCCAUGGGCAGGUUGAAGGUUGGGUAACACUAACUGGAGGACCGAACCGACUAAUGUUGAAAAAUUAGCGGAUGACCUGUGGCUGGGGGUGAAAGGCCAAUCAAACCGGGAGAUAGCUGGUUCUCCCCGAAAGCUAUUUAGGUAGCGCCUCGUGAAUUCAUCUCCGGGGGUAGAGCACUGUUUCGGCUAGGGGGCCAUCCCGGCUUACCAACCCGAUGCAAACUGCGAAUACCGGAGAAUGUUAUCACGGGAGACACACGGCGGGUGCUAACGUCCGUCGUGAAGAGGGAAACAACCCAGACCGCCAGCUAAGGUCCCAAAGUCAUGGUUAAGUGGGAAACGAUGUGGGAAGGCCCAGACAGCCAGGAUGUUGGCUUAGAAGCAGCCAUCAUUUAAAGAAAGCGUAAUAGCUCACUGGUCGAGUCGGCCUGCGCGGAAGAUGUAACGGGGCUAAACCAUGCACCGAAGCUGCGGCAGCGA
rnacentral:rRNA from 1 species